UACGUAGGUGGCAAGCGUUGUCCGGAUUUAUUGGGCGUAAAGCGAGCGCAGGCGGUUCCUUAAGUCUGAUGUGAAAGCCCCCGGCUCAACCGGGGAGGGUCAUUGGAAACUGGGAGACUUGAGUGCAGAAGAGGAGAGUGGAAUUCCAUGUGUAGCGGUGAAAUGCGUAGAUAUAUGGAGGAACACCAGUGGCGAAGGCGGCUCUCUGGUCUGUAACUGACGCUGAGGCUCGAAAGCGUGGGGAGCAAACAGGAUUAGAUA
rnacentral:rRNA from 1 species